UGGGGAAUAUUGGACAAUGGGCGAAAGCCUGAUCCAGCCAUGCCGCGUGUGUGAAGAAGGUCUUCGGAUUGUAAAGCACUUUAAGUUGGGAGGAAGGGCAGUAAGCGAAUACCUUGCUGUUUUUACGUUACCGACAGAAUAAGCACCGGCUAACUCUGUGCCAGCAGCCGCGGUAAUACAGAGGGUGCAAGCGUUAAUCGGAAUUACUGGGCGUAAAGCGCGCGUAGGUGGUUCGUUAAGUUGAAUGUGAAAGCCCCGGGCUCAACCUGGGAACUGCAUCGAAAGCUGGCGAGAUAGAGUAGGGCAGAGGGUGGUGGAAUUUCCUGUGUAGCGGUGAAAUGCGUAGAUAUAGGAAGGAACACCAGUGGCGAAGGCGACCACCUGGGCUAAUACUGAAACUGAGGUGCGAAAGCGUGGGGAGCAAACAGG
rnacentral:rRNA from 1 species